rnacentral:rRNA from 1 species
AUGCGGACGACAAGCUUCCCGUCGUCAAACUCCUCGACGGCGGCUGGUUCUACUGCCGUAGAGAUCGAUGGGAUGGGGAUUGUGGAGCUCGUCUCGGAGUACCAUCACCCAGACGAAUCAUUUUCCGGCUUGGAGCCUAGAUCUAAGCACCGUUGCCCUGGACAUGGCCUAGUUCCUGCUCGUCGGGUGGCUUGGGGAGGGGCUAGCACGGGCCGACGAUUUUUGGGUUGCCCUCUUGAUUUGCCAGAUGAGUGCAAGUGGGUGGUUUGGGUUGACCCUCCUCCUCCACUGUGUGUGGCCCUUGCAUUUGAAGAUCUACAUGCAGAGAUUGAACGCAGCUGGAUCAAGUCUCACAAAUUGCAGAGGGAAAAUACGGAGCUAUCAAAGAAGAACCGUGCUUUGAACAAGAAACUGAAGGAGAGAGAUGAGAUGCUCAAUGUUUGGGCAGUGUUGUUUAGUGGAAUUGUUGUAUGUGUUGUAGUUGUGGCUUUAUCAGUGUUAUCACAGAAUCAAGCCACUAAGUGA